rnacentral:lncRNA from 1 species
AGUGGCUGGAGUGGAAGUGAGGAAGAGGGAGAGCUCCUGGGCACCAGAAUGAAUGGGGAGGGUCCUUUAGGGCACUGUGAGGCCAUUAGCUUUUACUCCUACUGAGACUGGACAUCCCAGGAGAGUUUCAGAGCAGAGAAGUGCUAUGACUGCUCUUGAAGUUUAAGAGGACCAGGUGGCUGGCUUUGCUGUGUGUCAGAGAACAGGAGCAGAAACAGGGAGACCAGCUGGGAGGUGACUGCAAAAGUCCAGGUGAGAGGCGAUGGAGCUAGUGAGGAGUGCCGGAGGCCUGGUGUAUUCUGACGGUGCCAGGACCUGUGAUAGGUGCUGAGAGAGAUGAGGAACUGCUCAGAUCACCAGCUGCUUCAGGUUACCAGCCCACACCUGUCUGUCUCACCUCUGACAACCUUGGUAAAGAAACCAAGGCUUAGAGACCUGCUCACAGUCGUUUCGUGAGGGAAUGCAACAUCUGGGUCUAGGGUCCAAAUCUAUCUCUGCUGUGAAGAGGAACUCAUACAGGAGAUCUACAUGAUUACCAAUUCUUGGCCUUGCAGUGGAGGAUAUUAAUUUUAAGUACCUGUGAAAUGAAGUUCUUAAAACCUAAGAUUCCCCAAAACUCCAGUUAUCAACAAGGUUAUAUAGGAAUCAAAGCGAGGCGUUUGGAGUAGAUGCCGAGAUCACCUCUCCCUCACACCUCUGCUGACCCCAGCUACCUGCAAUCCUGCCAGGACCAUUCUGGAGUACCUUUCACUGAAGACAAAUUUAUUGUAAAAUUUCUACUGGGAUUCAU